rnacentral:lncRNA from 1 species
AGCAUCCUUGUUAGGUGGUUCACAAAAGUAGUAACUCCAGUUCCAAGAGAGCUUAAGAAAUUUUUGUUAUGGUAAGUAUUUUACUUUUGAAAAGCCUUUCCACUGUAUUUUUUUUCAAAUGGACAAAUGUAUUAACAUUGUUUUUUCUUUUUUAAUCAAGAGUAAUAAUACCCAUGCUUUCAGAAUUUUGGCAAUUAUUUCCUUUUUGCAACAGCUGAUAAAAUUUCCCUGGAGACUACUUACUUUAUAUGGUCUUGAAAAGAUUUCAGAAGUUUAGUCCAUUAUCAUCAUGGUGGGAAUCUUGGUGGCCCAUAAGGCAGAUGUGGUGCUGGAGAAGGAGCUGAGAGUUCUACAUGAACAGCAGACAACAGGAAGUGAACUGUGUGUUUCACACUGGAUGUAGCUUGAGCAUAUAAAACCUCAAAGCCUGCCUCCACAGUGACAUACUUCUUCAAGCAAGUCCACACCUACUUCAACAAAGCCACACCUCCUAACAGUGCCACUCCCUGAGGGCAUUCAAAUACAUGGGCCAUACUGUUUUCAAAACACCACAUAGG